UACAGAGGUCCCAAGCGUUGUUCGGAUUCACUGGGCGUAAAGGGUGCGUAGGUGGCUGGGUAAGUUUGAUGUGAAAUCUCCGGGCUUAACCCGGAAACUGCAUUGAAUACUAUCCUGCUCGAGGUUUGGAGGGGGGACUGGAAUUCUCGGUGUAGCAGUGAAAUGCGUAGAUAUCGAGAGGAACACCAGUGGCGAAGGCGAGUCCCUGGACAACACCUGACACUGAGGCACGAAAGCUAGGGGAGCAAACAGG
rnacentral:rRNA from 1 species